UACGUAGGGUGCGAGCGUUGUCCGGAAUUAUUGGGCGUAAAGAGCUCGUAGGCGGUCUGUCGCGUCUGCUGUGAAAACCUGGGGCUUAACCCCGGGCCUGCAGUGGGUACGGGCAGACUAGAGUGCGGUAGGGGAGACUGGAAUUCCUGGUGUAGCGGUGAAAUGCGCAGAUAUCAGGAGGAACACCGGUGGCGAAGGCGGUUCUCUGGGAAUAUCCUGACGCU
rnacentral:rRNA from 1 species